CUUUUGCAAAGCAUAAUCCCCUAGAUGGUGGGCCCCAAGCCAGGCAUGGUGGCACACGCCGGCACUCCCAGCACCCUGGGAGGCUGAGACAGGAGGAUGGCAAAAUCAGUCUCCGCUUAGACAACUUGCUCUUGAGAAUGUACUUGAGGAGAAGGCCAACCUUCCGGCGGGUCGUGAGUAGGGCUUCCUCGCUGCCUCCCUCCCCAGAUCCCCGCUUUUCCAUGCCACUGUCAGCAGCCGCCUCCAGGCUGAUGUCCCGCUGGAGCUCGUCCUCCUCCAGGGCCUUGAUACGGACCCGAUGGGCAUCCUCAGCCAACUCAUUGAGGCAGCCCUGGAGCAUGGUGUAGACGGUGCCGAAGCUGAUGCCACCAGCCACCAGUGUGCCGAACGUAGGGAUGCCCCUCUCAAAGGCACGGGCCACCUUCAUGGCGCCAUCGGCCGACGGAUCUCAGAGGCCAGGCGGGUCUCCACGGCCCCGCAGCAGCGGGGCGACACCAGCAGGAAGAAGUCGUAGCAGCUAAAGUCCACCUGCUUCAGGUACUUGUUGGCUGGGCAGCCCGGAGAGCCAGCCCCUGGGAGGUCCCACAGCAUCACAUCGGAAAGCUGCGGGUGUGGGUAGGGAGAGGGCUGCAUCAUGGUCUCCACGACACCCGUGAGGGCCGCGCCAGGGUCCUCGGCCCCCAGGCCACGCAGGGCAUUGAUGAGGGACGACUUGCCGGCCCCCAACUCGCCUAUGACGCCCACCUCCAGCCGGAUGUUGUCCAAGGAGGCCAGCAGCUCUCGAAGGCGAGAGGUGGCUUGGGGAAUGUCGCCAGACUCGAAGGCUGUGCGCAAGGCCUCCAGCUCUUCCUUGUUCAUAAGGAUGGUGCUCUCCUCCCCAGGCACGGCCGGCAACUUGAGAGUAGCCAUGGUGACCCGUGGUUGAGAGAGCAGCAGGGGACAAGGGAGUCACAGGAUGUGAUCCUCAACGUCUUUGGAGGAGAAGAGAGCUGGUCACACACCUCGUGGGCCUUGGGGUGGGCAGAAAGAGGGGUAUCAAGGAUGUGAGGCAGCCCCUCUGCAACCCACAGCCCUCUCCUCCUCAGGAACCCGGCAUACACUGGGCACACAC
rnacentral:lncRNA from 1 species